UCAUCAAAAAAAAAUUUUUCUAAACCUUUUCUUUAUCUUUGAGAAAAAUCAAAACAUCUGCUCAUGAACAACGUCACAGCAUUUCAAUAACCCAUUAAUUCAUUAUACUAUACAGCUUAGACAAUAAUUUCAGAUAAAAUAAAAUAUAUAUAUAAAAAAUAUGUGAUAUUUUACCCAUGUAACUUUUCAUAGUCGUAUUCAAAUGACAAAGUAAAUUUUAUACUACUGUGGAAAGUUUAUCAUUUCUUGAACAUGAUAGUUUAGUAGGCCUACUAAACUAUCAUGUUCAAGAAAUGAUAAACUUUCCAAAGUAAUAUGAAUACUGAACAGACAAACCGAAAUAAUAUCUUCAAUAAUAAAUUUUAUACUUUUGCGAACAUUAAAAUAUUUAACAUUUAGAGAUUGCAUUUCAAUUAAAAGCCAAAUUUUAAACAUCAAUUUUAAAAAAUAACGUCUUGGUAUUUUAUAGGCAUCCUUUCUAACCCAAUUGAUUUUAUUUCAGCAAAAAUGUGUUGACAUUGAUUUAGAGAGAAAAUAAGAACUAAUACUUGAAAGCUUUGCUGAAUUUUUGGCACCUGUCUUUGCAAUUGCUGAGUGUUGAUAUGAAUUUGGAGAACUAAAAGCAGACAAGCAGCUUUCAGUAUGCAUGACCAAAAAUGAAAAAUAUUCAGUUAUGGUGCUGUAGCGUAGUAGAUGCAAAGCAGUUAAACAGGU